rnacentral:rRNA from 1 species
UAUUGGUCAAUGGACGAGAGUCUGAACCAGCCAAGUAGCGUGAAGGAUGACUGCCCUAUGGGUUGUAAACUUCUUUUAUAUGGGAAUAAAACAGGGUAUGCAUACCCUCUUGUAUGUACCAUAUGAAUAAGGAACGGCUAACUCCGUGCCAGCAGCCGCGGUAAUACGGAGGAUCCGAGCGUUAUCCGGAUUUAUUGGGUUUAAAGGGAGCGUAGGUGGACAGUUAAGUCAGUUGUGAAAGUUUGCGGCUCAACCGUAAAAUUGCAGUUGAUACUGGCAUCCUUGAGUACAGUAGAGGUAGGCGGAAUUCGUGGUGUAGCGGUGAAAUGCUUAGAUAUCACGAAGAACUCCGAUUGCGAAGGCAGCCUGCUGGACUGUAACUGACGCUGAUGCUCGAAAGUGUGGGUAUCAAACAGG